rnacentral:rRNA from 1 species
CAGUAGCCGCGGUAAUACAGAGGGUGCGAGCGUUAAUUGGAUUUACUGGGCGUAAAGCGUGCGUAGGCGGCUUCUUAAGUCGGAUGUGAAAUCCCUGAGCUUAACUUAGGAAUUGCAUUCGAUACUGGGAAGCUAGAGUAUGGGAGAGGAUGGUAGAAUUCCAGGUGUAGCGGUGAAAUGCGUAGAGAUCUGGAGGAAUACCGAUGGCGAAGGCAGCCAUCUGGCCUAAUACUGACGCUGAGGUACGAAAGCAUGGGGAGCAAACAGGAUUAGAUACCCCAGUAGUCCCUGUCUCUUAUAC